rnacentral:rRNA from 1 species
UACGAAGGGGGCUAGCGUUGCUCGGAAUCACUGGGCGUAAAGCGCACGUAGGCGGAUUGUUAAGUCAGGGGUGAAAUCCCAAGGCUCAACCUUGGAACUGCCUUUGAUACUGGGGAUCUCGAGUCCGGAAGAGGUUGGUGGAACUGCGAGUGUAGAGGUGAAAUUCGUAGAUAUUCGCAAGAACACCAGUGGCGAAGGCGGCCAACUGGUCCGGUACUGACGCUGAGGUGCGAAAGCGUGGGGAGCAAACAGGG